ACAGAUUAGCUCCAGAAAGAAAGCAGUGUGAAAAAGAUGAAACACAGAUUUGAAAGCAAUCUUGAAGAUCAGACAGAAAACCAGCCUAUGAAUCAAAGAAGAAAAUCAAAAUCAGACUUCAUAACUGCUUCAGUAACCCUUGGCAACAGACAACACACUGGAUUUUGGCGAAUAACACUAAAAUUUUUGCUGGUGAGGUCUUCAGAAACUGGAUAGAUGUGAAACCACCAGAACAGAAGUGGAGCGGGCAUGGUAUCUGUUUCUUCAAUUUGUAGUUUUAUAGUCAAAAACUGGCAUGUAUAUACUUAAUUGGUAACAUGUAAGUCACGUGCCUCUAUCCCAACUCUAAGAGAGGUUGAGAACUUAAUUUCUGGCUUCUACCUUGGGAAGGAUCAGGCUUAUAAGCUGGAAAAUUAGCCAACAUACACAGGAUAUUCAAAGCUUCUAGGCAGUCAAAAUACUGUCAAGUGGUAAAACAGACAUGAAAAAACCUUUUUUUCUCUCCUAAAUUUAAAAAAAUAUAAUUUUUGUAAAACACUGUAUGUGGCUUUCCAUAAAAUUAAAAGAGUCUUGGGAGAGAGAACAUCUCA
rnacentral:lncRNA from 10 species